rnacentral:rRNA from 1 species
UGCAGUCGAACGGUAACAGGAAGCAGCUUGCUGCUUCGCUGACGAGUGGCGGACGGGUGAGUAAUGUCUGGGAAGCUGCCUGAUGGAGGGGGAUAACUACUGGAAACGGUAGCUAAUACCGCAUAAUGUCGCAAGACCAAAGAGGGGGACCUUCGGGCCUCUUGCCAUCGGAUGUGCCCAGAUGGGAUUAGCUUGUUGGUGGGGUAACGGCUCACCAAGGCGACGAUCCCUAGCUGGUCUGAGAGGAUGACCAGCCACACUGGAACUGAGACACGGUCCAGACUCCUACGGGAGGCAGCAGUGGGGAAUAUUGCACAAUGGGCGCAAGCCUGAUGCAGCCAUGCCGCGUGUAUGAAGAAGGCCUUCGGGUUGUAAAGUACUUUCAGCGGGGAGGAAGGGAGUAAAGUUAAUACCUUUGCUCAUUGACGUUACCCGCAGAAGAAGCACCGGCUAACUCCGUGCCAGCAGCCGCGGUAAUACGGAGGGUGCAAGCGUUAAUCGGAAUUACUGGGCGUAAAGCGCACGCAGGCGGUUUGUUAAGUCAGAUGUGAAAUCCCCGGGCUCAACCUGGGAACUGCAUCUGAUACUGGCAAGCUUGAGUCUCGUAGAGGGGGGUAGAAUUCCAGGUGUAGC